rnacentral:rRNA from 1 species
AAUAGAUACCCAGGUAGUCCACGCCGUAAACGAUGAGUGCUAAGUGUUAGAGGGUUUCCGCCCUUUAGUGCUGCAGCUAACGCAUUAAGCACUCCGUCUGGGGAGUACGGUCGCAAGACUGAAACUCAAAGGAAUUGACGGGGGCCCGCACAAGCGGUGGAGCAUGUGGUUUAAUUCGAAGCAACGCGAAGAACCUUACCAGGUCUUGACAUCCUCUGACAACUCUAGAGAUAGAGCGUUCCCCUUCGGGGGACAGAGUGACAGGUGGUGCAUGGUUGUCGUCAGCUCGUGUCGUGAGAUGUUGGGUUAAGUCCCGCAACGAGCGCAACCCUUGAUCUUAGUUGCCAGCAUUCAGUUGGGCACUCUAAGGUGACUGCCGGUGACAAACCGGAGGAAGGUGGGGAUGACGUCAAAUCAUCAUGCCCCUUAUGACCUGGGCUACACACGUGCUACAAUGGAUGGUACAAAGGGCUGCAAGACCGCGAGGUCAAGCCAAUCCCAUAAAACCAUUCUCAGUUCGGAUUGU